UCCUAUUACUCAAAAUAAAGUAUCGACAACCAAAAAUAUGAAAAUAGUUGAUAUUAGGCUUUCUUCCUUUCUAAAGCUCAUAUGAGAUUUUUUUUUUAAAGUAGUCAGAUCAAAGUAUGAUUUAAAAUAUAAUAUACUAUAUUAUUUUAUUCUAUCUAAAAAUAUCUUGAAAGAUUGCUUUUACAUAACAUGAUACAACCUAUUUCUUCUAUAGUUCUAUUCUUUCUUUCUACAAUUUUAUUUUAUUGACGUAUCCUAGGUACUAAAAAAUUAUGAUC
rnacentral:lncRNA from 1 species